CGCAAGCACAGAGCCUCUGUUCUGCGUCAUACAGUCAGCACCUACUUAGGUCUGGGGAGUGCCCUCUCCCACCUCAACGCCUCUGCCUCGUGCUGUUACCGCUCUGAGCACCCCUGUGUCCUUGGAAGCCUGGAAGGAAAGCUUCCUGGAGAGAUGUCCUAAGGCGGCUGGGCACACGACUGGUACUGGCACCUCUCAUCACCAGGCCUUGAAUGAUGGGGCCCGCCUUCAUCAUUACCCCAGGUUGGAAAAGGCAAGAACAGAAGGCUUCCAGGCUGGAGUGAUGCACGCCUUUAAUCCCAGCACUCAGGAGGCAGAGCAGACAGAUCUCUGAGUUCGAGGCCAGCCUGGUCUACAGAGCAAGUUCCAGAACAGCCAGGGCUACACAGUGAGAGCCUGUCUGAAAACAUAAACCACAGCUACCUCUUUUCCCUGAAGUCCUAAUGAGUGACAUUUCUAUUGAGCCUCCAGGGCCCAAACUGGGGGUUAUCUUUGCUCCACAGGGCACCCAGCAUGUAUAUAAGAAGAGCUAAGACAUACUCCCAGAUAAGCUGGGCUGCCUAGAAGACCCAACAGCUGAGCCUCCUGGGAAAAACAGAAAUCAACCAAAUUACCUGGAAGAAACAAAUCAGCCAGACUUCCUGGAAGAGCCUCUGACCACCUGCGCUAUCUGCAAAGAGCACUCCAGUCUACUGAGCCAUCUCCAGGUUGCUCACUAUGAGGACCUACCUACCCACUGUUAGGAACUGUCACCAAUUGGUGAUGGCUUGAGUCAUACCACCCACAUACCUGUACAUAACCCCAAUAAAAACUCAUUGGGUCACCAA